UUGACAGCUCAGACAGGCUUUUUGGAGCUUCCAUAUAUCUUCCGGCUUUACUGCUGAUGAAACUUCACGUCCCCCUCCUUCUAAAUGCUUCCUUAAUUCCUUCUAAAAAUUUUCCUCAUAAUCCAUACAGAUAUUACACAGAAAUUCAAUAUUCCUUUCAUUGUGGUAAGAAAGCACAGUUGGGCGUCAGGAAAUGUGGUGUCCUAGUCUGACCUCUAGCACUGUGGUAAGAAAGUACAACGCAACUACUAUGCACGAAUUGUAUCUCCCUCCCUCAAGUUCGGAUGUCGAAAAGCUAAUCCCCAAUACCUGAAAACAUGACUGCAUUUGGAUACAAGCCCUUUCAAGAGGUGAUUAAGUUAAAAUGAAGCCAUUAGGGUGGGCCUUAAUCCAAUUUCACUGGAUUGGAUGCAGAGAGAGACACCACCAGAGGCAUACAAAAGCGUGGAAGAAAGACCAUGUGAGUACCCAGAAAGAAGGUGGCUGUCUGCAAGCCAAGGAGAAAGGCCUCAGAAGAAACCAAACUUGUCAAUACCUUAUUUUUGGACUUCCACCAGCUUCCAGAGCUAUCAAAAGAUAAGUUGCAGUUGUUUAAACUGUCUGGUCUGUGGUAUUUUAUUAUGGCAGCCAUAGCAAACUAAUACAGCAAAUUUCGAGUACAUUUCUUAAAUCCAUGAGCUUCCGUGCCCUUCAAAUAAACUAGGGAAUGAGAUUAUGAGAUCUGCACAAUUCUUAAACCUUAAAUAGGUCAUUCAUUUCUAAUGAGGUUGGCACUAAAAAGAACAUUGAGCUUCCCUAGCACACACAAACUCAUAUUUCAUUGGCCUGAAUGGCUUAGACCUCUCUAUUCCUAACUCAAUCACUCACUUAGAAUUACAGGUACUGUGAAAGGGCUGGAGCUAUAAUCUUGCUGGAAAGGAUAUGGGGAGGCAACUGUAAUGUCCACUAAAGAUAUAUCGCUGGUGGUGGGUCAGCCACCUUGUGACGACAAGGUGACCAUGAAUAGAGAAGCCCCACACCAAGGAUGGUGAAACAGAAUGGCAGAAAGAGCCUGGAGGCUGCUGGUGUCAGGGAACCAACCACUGCCCCAGGCCUGGACUGACAGCCUCUGGAUAAAUGAGAAAGAGACACCUAUGUUUGCCAAACUGCUUCCCAGGAAGAUCUGAAACAAUUUACACUCUCACCAAAAUUGUGUGAGCAUAUAUAGCCCUUCACACUGUUACCGGGAUUCUGUAUUAACUUUUCAAAAAAGACAACGG